CCAGCACAGAACCUGACCUCUGAUCUGCACACAGAGACAAAAAAAAACUGCAGUGGCCCAGAACAUCUGGUCAACCUUGUGAAAGUGGUCCAUGGAAACCAUGCUGCUUGCCGAUGUCUGCAGGCCUUUGGAAGACUAAUAUCUCUAGCCAGGUUAAUUUGUAAAUCCUCUUGGAAAGUAAUGAGCAUGAAAUUGCACAUUUCCUGCCUCUGGCAUUCCUAUUGUUAAUGUGUCUGAAUCACAAAUGAUAACUCCUCUGCUUCUUAAUGUUUCCAGCAAGGACAGUUGCAACAGAGUCAUGGUAGUAGUGAACUGCCUCAUCAUCAAAGAAUCAACAAUUCUAGAGGACUGGACUCUACCCAGGAGGCCCAUUUUCAUUACCACAUCAGAUCCUAGUUUAACACCUUAAAAUAUAAAUUCAGUUACAGCUUCCACUUUCUCUGUAUGUAGGGAGGGAUAUAAGCUUUAACCUUUAUUUUACCUGUUAGAUUAUGACAGCUGACAUCCUCAGUAUAUCACACUGUUAAAUACUCAUAGAGUCAACAAUUCUUAGCAUUAGAAUGACAGAUGACAACUAAGAAUAACCUCAGGGUAGCUAGGAUGGGCUAUUUAAAACAACAUUUUAUAUUUAUGUUUAAAGACUACACCAAACUUUAGCGGAGAGAAGUAGGUAGUUUAUAUGGGUAUUAUCAGGGUUGACCAUAUCUAAGCAUUCUUGAAGGAUCAUGGAAUCAGUAUUUGAUUUUAUGUUGUAAGAAGUAAAGCUAUGUAGUAGGAAUUAUAGAUACAAGUAAGAAAUUUGAAGAAAUUAAGUUUUCCUCAAUUUCUUUAACCAAUGUAUAUUGUCAUAUACAACAUAAGAGUUCACUUUCUUAUACAUUGAUCACAGUUUAACCUGAAAUAAAUUUGGGAAAAAAUUUAAAAUAGGACAUAAAUUUUCUUGAAAUAAUUAAUAAAACAAAAUAUUAAAAAUGUCUUCAUGGAGAUCAUUUAAAGUUGGGUUCAAAAGAUUGAAUUUUGUUGUAAAGAUGACUUUGAUAUCAAACAAGGGAUAUAACAU
rnacentral:lncRNA from 1 species